UUAUAAUCUACAACUUUGAUACCAACCUGUGACGCCCCAAAUCCCUGUACUUGCUAGAGCGAAUCUGGUGAUCACUUUACUUAUUUUAACCUUAAGUUUUAGACAUUCUAUACUUCUAUAUAUCCAAGGUUCAGAGCAUUAAUAAUAGGAUUCUUCUUGGAACAGAAGAAUCUUGCGAAAAAUUAGGCUCUUUAUCCGUGGCAAGAUUCCUUUUCUUAUAGAACUCCCCAUAUUAUUCAAUAUCC
rnacentral:lncRNA from 1 species